rnacentral:lncRNA from 10 species
CAAAUCCAGCUGGAUUUUGGUGCUGCUUUCAUUUAAAAAACUUCCUAAAGUUCAUGGGAUGAUUUGAUAAUGACUCUUUGCGUCAGAGCUCUGUGUUACAAAAAAAGGUGAAGUCUUACUCAAUUCAACAGUUUUUAUGCAAAGUCCUCACGGGGAAGAGACUGAUGCCCUGCAAUGCCUCAGGACUCUCCAGAAUGUUUUCACCAGCAAAAAGGCCCUCAGCAGAUGCAGCCUCUCGACCUUGAACUUUCUAGCCUCCAAAAUGAGACAUCAUUCUGGCUGCAUUAUGAAUGGAUGGUUUGGAGGAAGAAUGUGGAUAGCUAAACAAGAAGGAGAAUAGAAAGAAACUACUCUUAAGACUAUUGCAAUAUCCAGUGUUAUCUCAGGACCAAGGAAUUAAUGGUGCAAUGUGCUUUGUUUCUGACUGCAGACUAUAAUGUUUAUUCCUAUUGGGGGCAGAGCAAGAUUUCAGUUUCUUUUCUCAGCAACAAGAAAAUACUCUGUCUGAAAUCAAGCAACUUCUGGGAAGACCAAGAGUGAUGGAAACUAGAGUUACAAAGCAAAAACCCUACAUCCUGAAUGCCCAGCCCGGUCAAUGAAAUUUUUCUGUCUCAUUUAUCAGCUAACUUGGUCCUCUUCCCCUGGGAACAAAACUGAGAAGGGUUAAGAGAUAAUGUGGAAACAAACUCCCCAGCACUUGCCUAAGAGGGCAGCUGUGUACCCAGACCUUCUUUCCUCUAUGUCAUUGUACUAGAAAGAGAGAGUUCCAUACUCUUUAAUCUGAAUAGUUGGCACUCACUUAAAAAAGAAUGCAGCCUGAUUCCUCUCUGCCCCUCUAGCUAUUUCCAGAAAGUUGUUCAUGGGAUGAAUUGAAAGCCAACAAAGGGAGUUGUUAGUACAUAUUUCCAGGAAUGAAGUUGUCUGGAUGCAGCUAAUGCCUCCAUAGAACUGACAGUGCUGAAUUUACGAAAUGGAAAGAGUUCUGGAAAAGCAAGAAAAAAAGUCUUGUUUGAAACCCCACGUCUACUGUAGGCACAGAAGGGAAUGGAGGCAUCUGAGCAUUUUAUUUUCCAUCUCUACAGCACCUCAGAACACCUACAUUUUAUUUUUUUUCUUCUCAGAAAUGUCUUAAUAAGAGGACUGCAGUGUACUCAAGUUUCCCAAUGACAGGGUAGGGAUGCCAACCUUCUCUUUCAUUGGCAGCUCAUAGUAUCCAAGUUUCUCAAAACCCUAAGCCAUCUUAUUUGUUCUUUGGAACUUUGUGGCCUACCACAGUGCAAUUCUCAUUCGGUGUUUAAUAAAAUAUUUGUUAGCUCUUUUCUAAUUGAGA